UAAGAGAUCCGUCGACUUUAAAAAUCGUGAGGGUUCAAGUCCCUCUAUCCCCA
rnacentral:tRNA from 1 species